GACGAACGCUGGCGGCGUGCUUAACACAUGCAAGUCGAACGGAAAGGCCCUGCUUUUGUGGGGUGCUCGAGUGGCGAACGGGUGAGUAACACGUGAGUAACCUGCCCUUGACUUUGGGAUAACUUCAGGAAACUGGGGCUAAUACCGGAUAGGAGCUCCUGCUGCAUGGUGGGGGUUGGAAAGUUUCGGCGGUUGGGGAUGGACUCGCGGCUUAUCAGCUUGUUGGUGGGGUAGUGGCUUACCAAGGGUUUGACGGGUAGCCGGCCUGUGAGGGUGACCGGCCACAUUGGGACUGAGAGACGGCCCAGACUCCUACGGGAGGCAGCAGUGGGGAGUAUUGCACAAUGGGCGGAAGCCUGAUGCAGCAACGCCGCGUGCGGGAUGACGGCCUUCGGGUUGUAAACCGCUUUCGCCUGUGACGAAGCGUGAGUGACGGUAAUGGGUAAAGAAGCACCGGCUAACUACGUG
rnacentral:rRNA from 1 species